rnacentral:lncRNA from 1 species
GUGGGUUCCGGGCCGGAAUCUUUUUCCUUUUUCUUUUUUCACUUUCCCUUCCCAUCCCUUCCGUGCCCGAGCGAGCCCAGCCAGCUUCUUCCUCCUCUGCUCGUUCUCCCAGCCAGCUUCUUCUUUUCUGUUCUUCUUGUGUUCUUCAUUUUCUCCUCAAAUGCCCCCAUUUUCUAGCUCAAAUUAGUGCACUUUGAUCCCAUUUUACCAACAAAAUCGCAUCCCCUACCUAGUUGGCACCCAAAGACACCUCGAUCUACUGUUUUCAUUGGCCAUGUAGAGCUAAUAUUUUGUGGUGCAAAGUUGGAGCAAUGGUGGUGGUUUGGAGGAGUUUGGAGAUGGUGGUGCUCAUCCGGUGACUGUGAGGCUGCUCGAGGUUGGGUUCACACACUUCAAGGGUAAAUCCUAAUCUCUCACGUAUUUAUCUUAUAAUAUAUAUCUUUAUGAGGAUACAUGUGUAUGUAUAUAUAGAAGUAUGUUUUAGCGUUUGGCAGUGCUCAUUAUUUUGGACAACGGUUAAUGUCGUACUGCUUAGUAUUUGAUGCGUCUAAAUAUUAUGGCCGGUAGUAAUAUGUUAUGAUAGACGAGAUUUUUUUUUAUGUCGUACUGUUUAGUAUUUGACACCUAUUAAUAUUUUAAAUCUGUCGUACUGCUUAGUAUUUGACACGUCCAAAUAGUAUGGCCGGUAGUAAUAUGUUUUGAUUAGGCUAGAUUUUAUUUAUGCCGUAUUGUUUAGUAUUUGACGCUAAUAUGCCGUACUGUUUAGUAUUUGACGCGUCAUACUAUUUUUAAUAUGCCGUACUGCUUAGUAUUUGAUGCGUCAUAAUAUUUUUUAUAUGCCGUACUGCUUAGUAUUUGAUGCGUCUAAACAUUUUUUUAGGCAUCAGAGAUGUCCGGUGUAGUGAAGUUUGUUUUUUACUACGGUUUCGAUACUGUCUUAACAACCGAGCACGGAGCUGAUAUGAGUCAGU